GAUGAACGCCAGCGGCAGGCCUAACACAUGCAAGUCGAGGGGCAGCACGUCUUCGGAUGGUGGCGACCGGCGCACGGGUGCGUAACGCGUAUGCAACCUACCUCUUACAGUGGGAUAGCCCAGAGAAAUUUGGAUUAAUACCGCAUAGUAUACAGAUUCAGCAUUGGGACUGUAUUAAACAUUUAUGGGUAAGAGAUGGGCAUGCGUUCUAUUAGUUAGUUGGAGUGGUAACGGCACCCCAAGACAGCGAUAGAUAGGGGCCCUGAGAGGGGGAUCCCCCGANACUGGUACUGAGACACGGACCAGACUCCUACGGGAGGCAGCAGUGAGGAAUAUUGGACAAUGGGCGAGAGCCUGA
rnacentral:rRNA from 1 species